CAAGCGGACGUCGGCGUCGGGACGCUGACUGCCGCUGGCUGGAAGCCUGUGAAACGAAUAGUCGUGGUCAAAUGAAUUACGCCGAUUACAGCGAUUUCCAGAAAAUUGUUCGUUCACUCGGAAUAGCGGCAAGGAUCGAUUUCAAUUAACACUUACGACAUACGGAGAGUCGAUAAAUUGCGCACGACGUCUGUCGCAAAUUAAUUGAAUAUCAAUCAUUGAUGACGCACGUCAAACGAGGCUUGAAAAAGACCCAGGAGUCCAGGACGUCCGUAGCUGUCAUAUGUUACAGGUGAAAUAUUAUAGUUUGAGGCUAACCGGCAAAGUGCUUCCAUUACGACACAGGCGUCGUACUAACGUCGUAUGUAUUGAGACCCCCCUGGCAUCCCCCGGCGUAGCAGCAAAACAUCCUUUCCAGUGUCUACUCAAUCACAUUAUAGUACACGUAACCUGGCAGCCCUUUAUGACUGCACAUGUACAAUGGGUCACCGUAAAUCUUGACGAUAAUGAUACACAGGAAAAUCCUGACAAAUUUUCAGCUGGAAAUAAAAAAAUUGAUGGGAAAAUGGUCGUAUCGUUCAAAACCAAUUCGCGAAUUUUAUUCGUUAAUACCGUAACGCAUACUGCUGCUGCUACUGCUGGUGCUGCAUCGAUCUCUCCACGCGGAUGAAGGGUUUAAAUGCAAGGGCGUGUGCCUGUUCUCUAUGAAAGAUGACAGUCAUUUAGGUUAAUGCUAAUUCGAAGAAGAUGGCCUACUGAUAAAGAAAGGAUCAACGCUUCAUUAACUUAAUGCAUCACCCUCAGCCUUGGAUUCUGGAUAUUUUAUAUAGAUAUAGCGUUGCUGCAAUUACACACAAUAGAUAUGAUUCUUACGGCUGUUUUUCGUUGUUAAUUUAAUUCGGAAUUGCGUGCACUUUGUUCUCUUAUUCUGUUGUGAACGUGUGAGUAGAAUUGAUAUCAAGCUGCGAACAGACUGGCGGGGAGGGGGGGGGGGAAUAAAAUUAUUCAACUGUUGCUGCGGUUGUCAUUGGGAAACUCACGGUUA